AUUGAACGCUGGCGGCAGGCCUAACACAUGCAAGUCGAACGAGUGGCGGACGGGUGAGUAAUGUCUGGGAAACUGCCCGAUGGAGGGGGAUAACUACUGGAAACGGUAGCUAAUACCGCAUACUAUCGGAUGUGCCCAGAUGGGAUUAGCGAGUAGGUGGGGUAACGGCUCACAUAGGCGACGAUACCUAGCUGGUCUGAGAGGAUGACCGGCCACACGGGAACUGAGACACGGUCCAUACUCCUACGGGAGGCAGCAGUGGGGAAUAUUGGACAAGGGGCGAAAGCCUGAUGCAGCCAUGCCGCGUGUAUGAAGAAGGCCUUCGGGUUGUAAAGUACUUUCGGCGGGGAGGCGUUAUUCGCAGAAGAAGUACCGGCUAACUCCGUGCCAGCAGCCGCGGUAAUUC
rnacentral:rRNA from 1 species